rnacentral:lncRNA from 1 species
GGCCAGGAUAGUCCUUGUGAGGAGUCACAGGACUGUUUGAGUUGAGCAUGAUUCGGAUGAUCUGAUCAAGGUUGACAGUUUAACCCUGAGUCAUCCUAAACACAGGGAUCAAAAGGAUGAAUUAUGCAGUAACCAUAUUCAUGUAGAUUCUGAGUGUUGUGAAUGUGACUUUUCGACCUAUCCGGACGUCGGGUAUCAUUGCUAGAUGGUCACUUUGAUUAGUACAGGAAUUGGUUCCUGUGCUACCGGCUUAGGUUCGAACCUGUAGGGUCACACACAUUAGAGGUUCCUAUCUGAUCUGAUGGCUGAUGUAGAAUCCUAUAUGUUUGAGACUCAGUGAUCGAGAAUCAGGAUUCUCUGAUCAUGAGUUCUACACAUUAUGGGUACCGGGGUCAAGAGUCCCACUGGUUGGAACUUUUCGAUCAGGGUUACAUAUCGAU